CCCUAGUAUGCGCCCCAAGGUUGCGACUAGAGGGUUGGCCAACCUAUCCUUUGAUCGUGCACUGCACGUUAAAUGGACUGAGAGCACUGCUUCAGCCACACGGUUCUGCCGUGUUAUCAAAAUCUGAACAGAACUACCUUCUGUUAAAAUCUUACAACUAGUAGCACUGGAUCCCUUGGCACGUCAUUCGAUGAAGAACGUAGCAAUCUGCGAUAAGUGGUGUGAUAUGCAAGUCCACAGCUUAUACGUGAACCAUCGAAUCUUUGAACGCACUGCACUAUCCGGACGACACCCCCGUGAUAGUAUGCCCCAUUGAGCGUUAUUUGCUUAUUCAGACAUCAGUGUGUUCACUCACUCUGAUGGAUGAGUUCGAGGUUCACAUCUGAUAGAUGCGUUCCUUAAGAUUCAUUAGCAACUGAGGUCAACCCAGUCCACAUCCUGUGAUGAUUUUGCAGGUCAAGGUUGAGGUUUGAUUGGUGCUCAUAAAUGCCUUUGGCAAACUGGCCUUGGUGCCCACACUUCGUAUAUAACCUCAGUGGGGUAGGAUUACCCGCUAGACUUAAGCAUAUUAAUCAGCGGAGGAAAAGAAACUAACAAGGAUUCCCCCAGUAACUGCGAGUGAA
rnacentral:rRNA from 1 species